rnacentral:tRNA from 1 species
AGCAGUGUGGCUCAGUGGAAAGAGCACGGGCUUGGGAGUCAGAGGUCAUGGGUUCAAAUCCCGGCUCAGCCG